rnacentral:sRNA from 1 species
UGUUUCGGAAGUGAUCACUGUGGCUGGCGUCCGGAAGCAAGGGCAAAGAGUGAUACACAUAACUGGGAAGACACACCCAUCUUAGUCCUUCCCUACAUCAUCAGCCGGGCUAUUAGAGCAACUCGUUCUCCUUCAUUCACCCUAUAGAAGACCCAGGCUGGGGUGGAAGGGAGAUCUGAGUUGUAAAGUCGUUUAUAAUAUAGUCAUCAGGGUCUCAAUGAACAAGCACCACAGAGACUCUAUCAAGAAGUGUAUCUGUCUCCAGAGAACUGUGCUUCUGGUCGUCUACUGACAAGGGGAAGAAGCUGAGGAGGUGAUGUUACCAGAGCUACUUUGCUGGCAUUGGUGAGGAUUCCCAGGAAGGCUUCAGGGUGUUGCCAUGCAGUCCAGAGGCUACUGUCCUCACGUUGAGACUCCCACCAGAGAUACAUCUGCCUGAUUUCUCCUCAUCCUGCAUCAUUCAUGAGGCAAGACCCAGCAACCUCUGCUCACAGGACUGCUUUCCUGUCUUGUAAAGACAACACCUCCAUCUUCCGAAGGUACUCCACUGAGGAAAAUGUCUCUACAUCCCCCAUCAUUCGUUAACUGCUCAAAGAGGGGUAGUGGGGCCUCAAGAGUCCAGCCUUGCUCUACGCCAUGAUGCUUCCGGCUCCAUCUUGUUCAGGCACUAUGUGGGCUGGAGGAAAUGCUCAGUGGAUAAAAGAGCUGGCUGGGGAAACGUGAGGACUGGCGUUCGUACCCCUAGAACCCAUGUACCGGGCUCUCCUCCUGAACCACUGUGGGAGUCAGGAAGAAGGAUGAGGACAGCGGAGAG